GCUUAGAUAGCUUUAGGGGUAGCAUGCCUGUCUUUUGAGUGCUAAGCUGGUAGGUCAUGGGUUUGAUUCCCAUCCUAAGCA
rnacentral:tRNA from 1 species